rnacentral:rRNA from 2 species
GGUUAACCGAAUAGGGGAGCCGAAGGGAAACCGAGUCUUAACUGGGCGUUAAGUUGCAGGGUAUAGACCCGAAACCCGGUGAUCUAGCCAUGGGCAGGUUGAAGGUUGGGUAACACUAACUGGAGGACCGAACCGACUAAUGUUGAAAAAUUAGCGGAUGACUUGUGGCUGGGGGUGAAAGGCCAAUCAAACCGGGAGAUAGCUGGUUCUCCCCGAAAGCUAUUUAGGUAGCGCCUCGUGAAUUCAUCUUCGGGGGUAGAGCACUGUUUCGGCUAGGGGGUCAUCCCGACUUACCAACCCGAUGCAAACUGCGAAUACCGAAGAAUGUUAUCACGGGAGACACACGGCGGGUGCUAACGUCCGUCGUGAAGAGGGAAACAACCCAGACCGCCAGCUAAGGUCCCAAAGUCAUGGUUAAGUGGGAAACGAUGUGGGAAGGCACAGACAGCCAGGAUGUUGGCUUAGAAGCAGCCAUCAUUUAAAGAAAGCGUAAUAGCUCACUGGUCGAGUCGGCCUGCGCGGAAGAUGUAACGGGGCUAAACCAUGCACCGAAGCUGCGGCAGCGACACUAUGUGUUGUUGGGUAGGGGAGCGUUCUGUAAGCCGUUGAAGGUGUGUCGUGAGGCAUGCUGGAGGUAUCAGAAGUGCGAAUGCUGACAUAAGUAACGAUAAUGCGGGUGAAAAACCCGCACGCCGGAAGACCAAGGGUUCCUGUCCAACGUUAAUCGGGGCAGGGUGAGUCGACCCCUAAGGCGAGGCCGAAAGGCGUAGUCGAUGGGAAACAGGUUAAUAUUCCUGUACUUGGUGUUACUGCGAAGGGGGGACGGAGAAGGCUAUGUUAGCCGGGCGACGGUUGUCCCGGUUUAAGCAUGUAGGCGGAGGUUCCAGGUAAAUCCGGUACCUU